AAUGAGUUUGAAGCGUUGGUUUUGUAUGACGUGAAUCCUAUCAACCAAUCAGAAAUAGCGCGGGCGAAAUGAAAAAAGAAAAACGCGAUUGGAAAUGGAUGGUUAAUAAAAUUCAGAAUAUUGCAAAACAAGGACAGUGUACAGCGUGUUUAAAUCUUCCAGAAAUGCAGCUGUGCCCUCUUUACAGCAAUUAUAGAUGAAGCAAAGUAUGGUAGCAAGUAAUAUAGAUAUACACACAUGCCGAAGAAGAUUGUAAUAUCUGGAGAAAACAUUUCCUACGUCACGAAAUAGACACCGUCACACUGGUCUACGUAUCAUUCCUAUAGAUGAUUGAUAUAUUUAACUGCUUUUAAGAACAGUGUUUGAAUGACGAAUUUCUGUGAAUACGGAUUUUUAAUUUUAAUGAUUAUUAUUAAAACUUUCUGUAAUUAUCAAUUUGUGCUAUGGACUCAUUUUCCUAAAAUAAUAUGUGAAUGUUAACACGAACAAAUGAUAUGAAUAUCUUUAAAAUGUUUUAUGGGUGUAAUAUAAGUGGCUCAUAUGAAUCAUUGUUAAGAUAAAUCGAAAAGAACUUCAAGUUAGCAUAGUUUGUUCCAGAUUUAAACAACAUGCAAUUCAUAAAUGUUACGGCUUGAAAAUAUCGAAAUGUACAUGUAUAAUUCGAUCUCUGAAGAAAAUAUCGCGGUGCAGAUGUUCUGCACUGUGAUACGUAUUUCAUGACUCUGUAUCGCAACAUACCGGUAUAUCGCCUUUCCGUUGCAACGCUACAUUAAUGUGUCCCUCUGGAAUAAGGUUACAACAAUAUAUGACUAUUGUAGCGAAGACAUGUUUAUUUUGUUAUAUAUAUGUAUACAUAUUGAAUAUAUGUUUAUGAAAUAAUAAAUAUUUAAGAGUGACUCGAUUUGGUUUUUACUUUAUUAUUUGAAAUACUCCAAUUUUGAAGAUAAAGUUCUUAAGCAUAUGA